AUUGAACGCUGGCGGCAUGCUUUACACAUGCAAGUCGAACGGUAACAGGCCGCAAGGUGCUGACGAGUGGCGCACGGGUGAGUAAUGCAUCGGAACGUGCCCAGUCGUGGGGGAUAACUACUCGAAAGAGUAGCUAAUACCGCAUACGAUCUAUGGAUGAAAGCGGGGGACCGUAAGGCCUCGCGCGAUUGGAGCGGCCGCUGUCAGAUUAGGUAGUUGGUGGGGUAAAGGCUCACCAAGCCAACGAUCUGUAGCUGGUCUGAGAGGACGACCAGCCACACUGGGACUGAGACACGGCCCAGACUCCUACGGGAGGCAGCAGUGGGGAAUUUUGGACAAUGGGCGCAAGCCUGAUCCAGCAAUGCCGCGUGCAGGAAGAAGGCCUUCGGGUUGUAAACUGCUUUUGUACGGAACGAAACGGCUCUGGUUAAUACCCGGGGCUAAUGACGGUACCGAAAGAAUAAGCACCGGCUAACUACGUG
rnacentral:rRNA from 1 species